rnacentral:rRNA from 1 species
UGUGUUCGAUAAGUCAUAACGACUCUCGGCAACGGAUAUCUCGGCUCUCGCAUCGAUGAAGAACGUAGCGAAAUGCGAUACGUGGUGUGAAUUGCAGGAUCCCGUGAACCAUCGAGUUUUUGAACGCAAGUUGCGCCCGAAGCCGUUAGGCCGA